UACGUAGGUGGCAAGCGUUAUCCGGAAUUACUGGGCGUAAAGCGCACGCAGGCGGUCUCUUAAGUUUGACGUGAAAGCUCCCGGCUUAACUGGGAGAGGUCGUUGAAUACUGGGAGACUUGAGGCAAUGAGAGGGGUGUAGAAUUCCCGGUGUAGUGGUGGAAUGCGUAGAUAUCGGGGGGAAUACCAGUGGCGAAAGCGGCACCCUAGCGUUGUUCUGACGCUCAUGUGCGAAAGCGUGGGGAGCGAACGGG
rnacentral:rRNA from 1 species